UCCCGUCAACAGCCCAACGCCGAGUAAACGGAGACGUCUCCGGCCCCUCUAUUCUUUCCCCUCCUGUCCUGAAAGAUACUUGUCUAGCGUACAGCAACAUGGAGCAUUCAGAGUUCCAUAUAGUGGGGGGAAGCUUAAUCUACGCAGCAAGAAGAUCGAUUUAGGUUGAGGCAAACGAUUUGGGUACAGGCAAACUUCAUAUUCUGCCAAAAAGUGGCAGCAGCAUGCUCGAGCUGGUUGGCGGCGAGCUGAUUAUGAUGGGGAAUCCUUUUCUAGCUGCUUGAUUUCGAUUUUGGGUGGUGAGGAACUUUAUUUUCGCUUCUUAAUUUCGAUUUGGGUUAUCAGGAACUCGAUUCCUGCUGGGGGAUCUCGAUCUGGGUGAGGGGGAGUUCGGUUUUGGUGUUUCUUCUUCAGUUGGGUCGAGUCGAGGUCACCACGGUGGGGCAUCGAGCUGGGAGACUUCAAGGACCUCUUCUCUCCGCAGCGUAUGUGGCAGCGAGAACGAGUGUUGACCCUGAAGAAAUCUGACGAUGAUGUGGCAGCGCCAGUAGCAGGGGGCGUGAUACUUGUGGAAAUAAUGACCCGGGCAUACCCAUGUAGUUUGUCUGCUGAGGCAUAGGUAGAUUUGGUGUGUCGUUGAGAAAGAUGAACUGAUGAUCUGUAUCUCUUGUAAUUGGAUAUGCAGCUUUUUUCCCUCCAUUAAUUUCUAUUAACCGCUGUGUGGCGC